ensembl:lncRNA
GCAUAAAUUGGCAGAACUGCACAAUGAAAAAACGUACUGAGAGACCAAACUCAUUAGAUUCUGGUGCCUCAGUGACUGUUGAAAUUACUAUUUUGCAAGACUGUGGGCGCCUGCGAGGUACACAAUUUAGGCAAAGGUAUAGGGUGUGUAUCAGCUCUGCUCUACAGCUGCUCCCAGUACAAAUUGCUUACUGCAGAGUGGGGUUGAGUUUUGUUUUAUUUGGCAUCAUGUGCAGGAAAAAAAAAAAAAGAUUAGUUUUUGACAACCUAUUCCUUAAACAAAAGAGAUUAUUUUAGAUCUAGCUGGCUGUGGAAGGAUAAUACAGAAAUCUAAGUACUCCUGACUGUCUUACUUGAACAAAGAUUCCCAUAAUGGUUCCAGAAAUAGUCAGAAGACCUCAGGAUGAGGGCCUUGAUCCAAGACUACAGAAAUGAUAAAGUACGGCUUUCUGUGAGAGCUGGGGAAAAAAUCACAACGUAAUUCCCCACGGCCUCCAGUUGCCUCAUGACCACGCUCCUAUCCUGCCCUGACCCUGUGCUGACGGACUCCUGAGAGCCUGCAGGGGCAGAGUGCUGCAUCACCCCAUUGCCACCUCUUUCCAAUGGGCAUCUGUCCACAUCAGUGGCUGCAGGAGAACCAUCAGCAAUCCUGGAGCAGCUCUUUGAGUUCCCCAGGCUGUGCUGCCAGGGAGUUUCAGCUUCUGGGAAAGGCCUCAGCAAGGAAAAGCAUUCUCAAAGUCAUCUAAUUGUUCAGGACAUACUGAGUAUCUGCACUUACAGAAAUCAUGUUCAGGUGGAGCUCCCUUGAAGGCAAGGCACCGGGAAGCCAAGAUGAGUUUUCAGAAACCGGUGGUGCCUUCCUACUGAUAGGACCGAAUCCCAGCACGGAGCCAUCGCCACAGGCAGGAGGAUGACAAACAGGAGGCACAACAGGUUGCACCAAAAAGAAGCAGCUUUUCAGUUCAGAGGAAAUAGCUGGUUAGUGCACACGGACAACUUCUCACUUCAGCUGUAUGGGCUUUCCAGCACCUCAAGAGAUCCCACAGUUUUUGUUUUGAUAAACAAGAUGCCAUCCACCAUCUGCCAUCUCCCAUUGCCUCUGUCAGGAAGAACAGUUUGGAGAAUUCUUCCAACUGGAAGAGUCUCAGCUGUCUCUGCGCUUCAACACUAUCCUUUCACAUAAUCUUCAAAGAUCUGUCCACAAGCUCUGAAAUGUUAGCAUGGAAAAGCAAAUAAAAAAAAAAGAGAGAGAGAGAGAGAGAGAGAGAUCUGACCUUGAAGAUUUAGGAUUGGUUUUGCUUUUAAAACUAAGGAAAAAAAAAUACCUGCAACAAAGCAGAAAAAUAGAAUUAUAACUUUCUUAUGAGUUACAAGCUGCAUCAUUUUUCCCAGGGCCUGACAGUCAGGCUUGUUUUUUCCUUCUCACACAACAGUACCAGGCAGAGAUCCCAUCAGCCAAAAGCCACUUCAAAUCCCCCAAGCAACCCUCUUUUCAGAGCAUUUCCUUUCAUGCACAUGAGAUGUAAGGAGAGCUCAGGAAGAUCCUCCGAUGAAAGCCUUCCUCCCAAGUCGUCGCCUUUGAAGAAGAGCCCCAGUGCCAGUGAAGCUCCACUGGAAUUUGCCCUUUCCCAUGAUUCACAAUGGGGAUGUGAUGCAAUUUCCGAGCCAUGCUCCCUCUGGAAUAUACCACACAGAGUCUGAGUUCAGGUGGGGCCGUGCAUCUUUCAGAACCGUUCACAUGGCUGACCCACAUGUUGAUAAUUUGCAGUGAGCCAGGUGGGAUUAUCUGUGGUAUAGUUGCAGCUGGUGGCAGCACAUCCAGUAGGAGAGCACCGUUACUGCUUCAGCAUUAACAAGAAAUGGUGCCAAAGGCUGGCUGUGAUCAUGUAAAUAGCUCAUGGAGGGGGGCCAUGAGGAUUAUGACUACCUGGUGCUGCAGAGUGGAUGCCACCUGAGAGAAGAUGCUCGUGCCCACAGGGGAGAGCGCUCGCUGCCAGCAUGGAUAUGGGGUCAGUGCAGCUCCUGCCCUGCACAGCAGAAUGUUGGACUGCAGGGCUGGCUGAGCUGCAGCCAGCUCCCAUUGCUGUGCGAGGCAAUGUUUAAAAAAUAGAAUCAACACAUCAAACUAUGUGUCAUGUAAGUUUUCCAUGUCAAGGAAAAUAGCCUGAGGCCCUUCUUCCCACAUUUGCCGCUACAACAGCCAGACAACCUGGCCCCAAAAUUUAUUCUGGUCUUUAAUCAGGAAAAAUCCCUGUGAUCUCUGAGGUUGGGCUUCACGGUUUUGGAAAGAGAUGAUGUGGUUCACUAAAAGGAAGGCGCUUGCCCACUGUUCUUGAGGUCUGUGGUCACUGUGAGAGUUGCACUCAUUGUGCACCACCUGCAGAAAAAGUGGAAAUGCUCUCAUUUGCCCUAGUCGUCUCUGUGCAGUAAACAUCCAGCGUAGCAGCUUCAGAGCCAUUACUCAUGCUAUGUUUCCCUCUGUAUACACAAAAGCAGAUGCUAUCCAGCACCCGGAUGACCCCAAGUUCUGCUUUCAUCCUGAGCUAGUUUUGUUUUAUUUUUUCUCCAUGCUCUUCAUGCUGAGGUUUACCUUUCCCCAUGAUUUUGUUGCCCCAAGAACAAAGCUGGCCCUCCACAAACCAUGCACAGUGAGGCUGUGUAGGAUGUGUGCAUACUCUUACUGUUGAUUUUAGUUUCCUAAUUUAGAGCACAAAUACAAUGUCCAAGUGGCCAGAGCGAGAUUACUCCUCCAUGCACAUCAUCCUUCCCUUUGCACCUCAGGUAGCCAUUGCACAUUUCCUUUGACUCGGACUACAGUGAGAGAUUGGUUUUGCCUUUAGGAUGGGGCAGCAGCACAGAGGUGCCAACUCAAGGUGUAGGACUAUCACAGGGCUCUCAGCACUCUGAGCCAUUCAUGGCUCUUGCAAGAUCACACCUUGCAGGAAAGAUAAACCCAGAUAUGAUCUUGGGUUUAAAACCCAAGCCCUAAACAGGCUUUGAGGCCAAUGCACAAUUUCUCAAGCAGGCAAUAUGGUUUUCUUGUAUAUAUAAUAAACCUCAGUCAUCGGGAUUGCUGUGAGCUGCCACAAUGCAUACUCUCCUGUGGUGCAGCCCUGGUCGCUCUCACUGAUGUGUGCUAUUUCUGAACUAAAGCAUAAGGUUUAUCAUCCCUGCUGUUCUACCCUGCAAGCAGGAGUAAAAAAGGUCGACUACUGUGUUCAGGCAGCAUCAAAUUACUGUAAAACAAGUGAGAUACUGCAGCGAUAUAUGGCGAGUCUCGGCAUCUUCACUUCUUUCAGGCUUGCAUUAUAAAUGGGUCACAAACUGUUGCUUUCAUAAUAGAAAGAUGAGCCAUCAACUCACUCAUCCCUUCCAAAUUAAUAUUCAGUGAGGAUUUGCAAAUGAAACUGUUUCAUACCUGGGCAUGCCACGGAGCACCUGGAGUGCUUUGUCUGAGCUAUGUAAUGGGGAGUUCGGUGUCGUAAAGCAAUUUACAGGCUGUCCUAGGGCUUCUUCUGAUAAAAACGAUGACAGUAUGCACAGCUAGGCAGAGGAUAAGUGUUACAAUGAAGUCUGGGCUGGACAUAGGAGAGAAAUUUGGCACUUCUAAUCAGUUUUUUUGUCUCCCAAACCCAAAGAUCUCUUACAUGUCACCCAAACCUGGCCACACAGAGUCACCAGGGUCAGGCUGCCGUUCUUCCACUGCUCACACCAAGCUCCAGGUUCAGCCAGGUUGUGCUUCCUCCAUCAGCACUGACCAAUAUCAGCACCAAUAUCUGCCCUUCUGUCAGAGGAGAAACACCUUUAUCUUCUCAGGCUGAAAGAGAGCCACUCAAUAGAUCUGCAUCUACAGACUGCAGCAGUCUUCUCAUCCAUCUGUCGAAAUGUGCAUACCUGGCUGCGUCGGAGGCCACAGAUACAGCACUCAGCUGGAGUUGACUGUGGUGAUGCUGGGAGAUGCUGUUGGAGCAGCCCCAUGGGGGCCCCCAGCCCUGACCUGUGCUCAUCGCGGCUGAUGGAGAUGCCUCGAGCAGGAGCUCACGUCUGGCGGAGCCCGGUGGCAAAUUGGAAGAGCUCUUCCCAGAGUGAGAAAGAAGCUAAUUUCUUACUAAUUAUUUGCCAAACAGCAUGUAAUUAAAUAGCGCAGAACUGUCGACAAUGCAUCUUUGGGUCUUUAGGCCAUAUUUUUCCUGUUCGUGGCACGCUCCUCCAGCGCUUCAAGGCUACUGCAUGCUGCAGAGCAGCGGAGGAGCAGAGUGAUAAUUGAACAAUUAACAAGUGAUGUCAUAAAACAUUGUGCUUAAAAUAAAAUGCGUAAUUAAAAUAACUGAAGCACAAAAAAAGAUGCAACGGCGUACAGAAAAAGCACACACACUAAAAAAAAUAAAAAAAAAAUCCUUGAGAAUAAGUAAGUCCCAUGUAGGAACUAAAAUAUGCCAUUUAAAGGGAAAAAAAUAGCACCAGAGUGGUUAAGCAAAGACGUGGAGUAAACUAGCAAGCAAUGAUGAUUUGCCAAAAACUAUACUAAUGUUGCAAAAGAAGUAUUCUCUGUAGUUAACAAGUUUGGGCCAUAAAACAGUCCUUCGGUGGCUCCCUGUGUCAUUAUUUGCUACCAAGACACUGUGCUGAUGGGCUCCUCGGGAUCCGGCGUUAGAUCAGUAAGCAGGAAAGCAGAGGUCCCCCCAGAUUUCCUGCCUGGAGAGCUGUUAGGAUCCGCGCUAGUUCUUUAAAGAGCAGAGCUGCGUACAGUGCUGCACUCAAAAUGACCCCGUUAGGAAUAUAAUCUGCUACAAAUGAGACGUUUGGAGGGAAAAAUAACACAGGAAAGCCAAAAGAAAAGAGAGAGAGAUUAAAAAAAAAAAAAAAAACAUUCCGGCUUGACUUCAGCUCAUCCUAACAAACGUGGUUUGUGAGGAGCCCCUAUCCUGCUCUUGGGAAGGCCAGAGAGGGAUUUAAGCAUCACCACCUCUCCAAGGCUGGGCUCAGGCUGCUGCUGCCCAGCAAGUGCCCAGCUGCAGUGCCUGUGCUCCUGUUCAUUCGCAGCAUGCACAGCCCU